GAGGCGGAGCUAAUCCCUUAAAGCCAUUCUCAGUUCGGAUUGUAGGCUGAAACUCGCCUACAUGAAGCUGGAGUUACUAGUAAUCGCAGAUCAGAAUGCUGCGGUGAAUGCGUUCCCGGGUCUUGUACACACCGCCCGUCACACCACGGAAGUUGGGGGCGCCCGAAGCCACUUAGCUAACCCUUUUGGGAAGCGAGUGUCGAAGGUGAAAUCAAUAACUGGGGUGAAGUCGUAACAAGGUAUC
rnacentral:rRNA from 1 species